CCUACGGGCGGCAGCAGUAGGGAAUCUUUCACAAUGGGCGAAAGCCUGAUGGAGCAACGCCGCGUGCAGGAUGAAGGCCUUCGGGUUGUAAACUGCUUUUAUAAGCGAGAAAUAUGAUGGUAACUUAUGAAUAAGGAUCGGCUAACUACGUGCCAGCAGCCGCGGUCAUACGUAGGAUCCGAGCAUUAUCCGGAGUGACUGGGUGUAAAGAGUUGCGUAGGUGGCAUAAUAAGUAGCUAGUGAAAUCUGGUGGCUCAACCAUUCAGACUAUUAGCUAAACUGUUAAGCUCGAGACCGUUAGAGGUAACUGGAAUGUCUAGUGUAGGAGUGAAAUCCGUAGAUAUUAGAAGGAACACCAAUAGCGUAGGCAGGUUGCUGGGACGGUUCUGACACUAAGGCACGAAAGCGUAGGGAGCAAACGGGAUUAGAUACCCUAGUAGUC
rnacentral:rRNA from 1 species